rnacentral:tRNA from 1 species
CCGUUGGUAGUUCAGUGGUAAAAUCUUUGUCUUCCAUGCUGGAGACCUGGGUUCGAUUCCUGGCCAGUGGA